rnacentral:rRNA from 1 species
ACUCCUACGGGAGGCAGCAGUGGGGAAUAUUGCACAAUGGGGAAGGCCAUCGAUGCAGCCAUGCCGCGCUGUGUGAAGAAGGCCAAUUCGGGCUUGGUAAAGACACUUUCAGUAGGGAGGAAGGUAGUGUAGUUAACACCUGCACUAUUUGACGUUACCUACAGAAGAAGCACCGGCUAACUCCGUGCCAGCAGCCGCGGUAAUACGGAGGGUGCGAGCGUUAAUCGGAAUUACUGGGCGUAAAGCGCAUGCAGGCGGCCUGUUAAGUCAGAUGUG